rnacentral:tRNA from 1 species
GAUGAGGUGGCCGAGUCGUUAAAGUGAUGGACUGCUAAUCCACUGUGCUCUGCGUGUAUGGGUUCAAAUCCCAUCCUCAUCU